rnacentral:rRNA from 1 species
UGAGGGAAUAUUUGGGGUCAAUGGACAGGAGUCUGAACCAGCCAAGUCGCGUGAGGGAUGAAGGUCCUACGGAUUGUAAACCUCUUUUGCCGGGGAGUAACGUCGCCCACGCGUGGGCGAGUGAGAGUACCCGGAGAAAAGCAUCGGCUAACUCCGUGCCAGCAGCCGCGGUAAUACGGAGGAUGCGAGCGUUAUCCGGAUUUAUUGGGUUUAAAGGGUGCGCAGGCGGCGCGUCAAGUCAGCGGUAAAAAUAGCGGCGCUCAACGCCGUAGAGCCGUUGAAACUGGCGCGCUCGAGUAUGUGCGAGGAAGGCGGAAUGCGUGGUGUAGCGGUGAAAUGCAUAGAUAUCACGCAGAACCCCGAUUGCGAAGGCAGCUUUCCAGCACACGACUGACGCUGAGGCACGAAAGCGUGGGGUAUCGAACAGGGAUUAGAUACCCUGGUAGU